rnacentral:tRNA from 1 species
GGAGAAGUGCCAGAGAGGCCAAAUGGCGCACGUUGGAAACGUGAUGGUCGCAGCGAUGCGGCACAGGAGUUCGAUUCUCCUCUUCUCCGCCA